AUAGUAACUUAAUAAAAAUUUCGUAUAACUCCAAUGAUAUGGUUUGGAGGUCUCUACCAGGAACCAAUAAUUCCUGAUUACGAAGAAGAUACAUGGAUGU
rnacentral:ncRNA from 2 species